rnacentral:rRNA from 1 species
CUGGAGACAGGUGGCUGCGUGGCUGUCGUCAGCUCGUGUCGUGAGAUGUUGGGUUAAGUCCCGCAACGAGCGCAACCCUUGCCUUUAGUUGCCAGCAGUUCGGCUGGGCACUCUAAAGGGACUGCCGGUGUUAAACCGGAGGAAGGUGGGGAUGACGUCAAGUCCUCAUGGCCUUUAUGACCAGGGCUACACACGUACUACAAUGGCCGAUACAAAGGGCAGCGACACUGCGAGGUGAAGCCAAUCCCGUAAAAUCGGUCUCAGUCCGGAUUGGAGUCUGCAACUCGACUCCAUGAAGUUGGAAUCGCUAGUAAUCGUGGAUCAGCAUGCCACGGUGAAUACGUUCUCGGGGUUU